UACGAAGGGGGCUAGCGUUGCUCGGAAUCACUGGGCGUAAAGGGUGCGUAGGCGGGUUCUUAAGUUAGAGGUGAAAGCCUGGAGCUCAACUCCAGAACUGCCUUUAAUACUGGAAAUCUUGAGUUCGGAAGAGGUGAGUGGAACUGCGAGUGUAGAGGUGAAAUUCGUAGAUAUUCGCAAGAACACCAGUGGCGAAGGCGGCUCACUGGUCCGAUACUGACGCUGAGGCACGAAAGCGUGGGGAGCGAACCGG
rnacentral:rRNA from 1 species